GACGAACCGUGCGAACGUUGUUCGGAUUCACUGGGCUUAAAGGGCGCGUAGGCGGGUGUUCAAGUCCGGGGUGAAAUCCUCCAGCUCAACUGGAGAAUAGCCUUGGAUACUGAAUGUCUUGAGGGAGGUAGGGGCGGGUGGAACUUCCGGAGGAGCGGUGAAAUGCGUAGAUAUCGGAAGGAACGCCGGUGGCGAAAGCGACCCGCUGGACCUCUUCUGACGCUGAGGCGCGAAAGCCAGGGGAGCAAACGGG
rnacentral:rRNA from 1 species